ACGCGAGCUGGGUUCAGAACGUCGUGAGACAGUUCGGUCCCUAUCUGCCGUGGGCGUUUGAGAUUUGAGGGAAGCUGCUCCUAGUACGAGAGGACCGGAGUGGACGAACCUCUGGUGUUCCGGUUGUCAUGCCAAUGGCAUUGCCGGGUAGCUAUGUUCGGACAGGAUAACCGCUGAAAGCAUCUAAGCGGGAAGCCCCUCCCAAGAUGAGAUCUCACUGGAACUUAAAGUUCCCUAAAGGGCCGUUGAAGACUACGACGUUGAUAGGCACGGUGUGGAAGCGCAGUAAUGCGUGUAGCUAACGUGUACUAAUUGCCCGUGAGGCUUGACCAU
rnacentral:rRNA from 1 species